ACGGAGGGUGCAAGCGUUGUUCGGAUUUAUUGGGCGUAAAGCGAGUGUAGGCGGUUUGACAAGUCGGGUGUGAAAGCCCAGGGCCCAACCCUGGAACUGCAUCCGAUACUGUCAGGCUAGAGUUCCGGAGAGGAUGGCGGAAUUCCCGGUGUAGGGGUGAAAUCCGUAGAUAUCGGGAGGAACACCAGUGGCGAAGGCGGCCAUCUGGACGGUGACUGACGCUGAGACUCGAAAGUGUGGGUAGCAAACAGG
rnacentral:rRNA from 1 species